ACAGUCAUACCAUACUGAACUUGAUGGGUCUUGUCUGGUCUUGGAAGCUAAGCAGGGUCAAGCCUGGUUGGUACUUGGAUGGGAGAUAUCUAGUGUAAGCAAGUCUCAUCUUGUC
rnacentral:rRNA from 1 species